UACGUAGGGUGCGAGCGUUAAUCGGAAUUACUGGGCCUAAAGCAUCCGUAGCCGGUUCUACAAGUCUUCCGUUAAAUCCACCUGCUUAACAGAUGGCUGCGGAGGAUACUAUGGAGCUAGGAGGCGGGAGAGGCAAGCGGUACUUAGUGGGUAGGGGUAAAAUCCGUUGAUCCAUUGAAGACCACCAGUGGCGAAGGCGGCUUGCCAGAACGCACUCGACGGUGAGGGAUGAAAGCUGGGGGAG
rnacentral:rRNA from 1 species